UUUCCCAUAUUGGUAAAUUUCCUUGAUUUGUCUUCUUUUGUGAACUGCUUCAAUAAUACUGUCGUGUAUCGUGGAUAUUUUUUACAUGUAGAAAAAACUUUGUAUUUACUCCGAACUUUCUUGAUGCUAGCAUGGGUGGUGAGUGUUGAUAUGUGGUGAUAUCAAGCGAUCAUAAGUUCAGUGGAGAUUAUGUUGAAUUUGGCAAGUGUAGAUAUUACAAAGCAAGCAAUUAUUGAUCGCUUGUUGGAUGGAGUAAAGCAAUGUCAGGUACGAUUUGGUAGUACAACCGAAUUGGCUUCUGAGAAGGAUAGCAGAAUCUCUUGUCUUUGUGAGCAAUGGAAUCGAAC